rnacentral:rRNA from 1 species
UGGGGAAUAUUGCACAAUGGGCGCAAGCCUGAGGCAGCCAUGCCGCGUGUGUGAAGAAGGCCUUCGGGUUGUAAAGCACUUUCAGCGGGGAGGAAGGCGAUAAGGUUAAUAACCUUGUCGAUUGACGUUACCCGCAGAAGAAGCACCGGCUAACUCCGUGCCAGCAGCCGCGGUAAUACGGAGGGUGCAAGCGUUAAUCGGAAUUACUGGGCGUAAAGCGCACGCAGGCGGUUUGUUAAGUCAGAUGUGAAAUCCCCGGGCUCAACCUGGGAACUGCAUCUGAUACUGGCAAGCUUGAGUCUCGUAGAGGGGGGUAGAAUUCCAGGUGUAGCGGUGAAAUGCGUAGAGAUCUGGAGGAAUACCGGUGGCGAAGGCGGCCCCCUGGACGAAGACUGACGCUCAGGUGCGAAAGCGUGGGGAGCAAACAGG